GUCUCCCCUCUGCCCGCCGCUAGGGCAGUUAGAGGCGCUGGGGUCCGGGGCUGAGCCGGCGGCUGCCGGGACGCUGUGUCGGGACGCCGGCGGGGCCACGCCGCCCGGCUCUGCUUGUCAGGCCUGAGAACCGGGAGGACGCUGGAGAAAAGCUGCCCUCUGAAUCUUUGUUUGGCUGCCCAGGCUCGCCUUGACUCCAAAUGGGUGAAAACAGAGACACAGAUACCGUCUCACCUUGUUGCCUAGGCUGGAGUGCAGUGGCGUGAUCUCAGCUCACUGCAA